rnacentral:rRNA from 1 species
AUGGAGAGCGGGGGCGCGAGGGAGCAGCAGCCAUGGCGCUACAGCUGCAACUUCGCGUGGCCGCCGCGCUCCUACACCUGCAGCUUCUGCAAGAGGGAGUUCCGGUCCGCGCAGGCCCUCGGUGGCCACAUGAAUGUCCACCGCAGGGACAGGGCCAGGCUCCGCCACGGCUCCCCACCUCCUCCUCCUCAGCUUGCUGCUGCUGCUGGUGGAAGCCCUAACCCUAGACGGGCAGCAGCAGCAGCAGCCAUCCCCAACCUCAACUAUCCUCCUCCACCACCGGCGCCGCAGCCAUCCCUGUACAAUGAGCGCUCGUCGGCGGCUGCGGCGGACACGAGGGCGUUAGAGUUGAGCCUGGAGCUAGGGUUGGAGGCUGGUGUGCAGUCCUGCACCAAGGAGGAAGAUGAUGGUCUGGAUCUUGAGCUUAGGCUCGGCUGCUCUUGA